rnacentral:lncRNA from 1 species
GAGUGGCCGACGGAACGGGGAGAGAGCAGGAGGGAGCCUAUUUACUCUUUUAAUAAAAACGAUCAGUUCAAAGAAAUGAUAGCAUCAGUACAACCGCUCGAAUUUAUCCGUUCAACAAAUAGUAAAAUGAUGGCGUGAUGAACUGCUAACAAGAAUAAUAUCCCCUCGUAAAAAUACAAUCAGCCCCCUAUGAUUUUACGGUCAUGUCCUUCCAAUUGACCACCCUCAUAAAAGUACAAUCAUCCCUGUGUACAAAUACAACCAGCCCCUGAUAAAAAAAUGAAACCUCAUUCAGUGCACUAGUGAAAUGCAAGGGAGCGUGGCCAUGCAGACUGCAUAGCGGAUCACCGAGAGAAGGAAAAGGAGAUUGCACCGGUAGUGUGAGGUGGACUGCACGACGAGGAGCUCUAUCUCGGCUGAACUAAAUUGCAAACAACUUGUAGAACCUACAAACAACAAACAAACAACUUAAAUUGAGUCAGAGAAAAAAGCAAUGAGAAGACGUCCACAACAAGCUACAAAAUGCAACAGCAUCCACAGCAAACCAACAAACUGCAACGGAACAACAAAUUAAUUGAACUAUAAGCAGCAAGUGAUGGCGGAUCCGUGCCUCAACGGAGUGGAGGCCAAUAACAGAGGGUCCAUGACAUGCUGUCCAUGGCGAGGGUGAACUUCACAAAAAAAUGCAUAACCAAAACAUCGCUAGCUAGCGACAGGCACACAAGAAAGAGGUCGAGACAAGGAACUGUUCCUUUUGUGAAGGAAGCUUGCUCAAACUCAGCCUUCUCGUUGUUAAAUCUUUCACUCUAUUAUAGGCAAUUCUUAGCUUCUUGUUUGAGCUUCCCAACUGAUUUUGUCUUCUUGACAACCUCUUCCUAAAUAAGAAAGCUAACACCUUGGUAAAUUCGGACACACUGUCUACAAUAUAGGCUUAAUCAAGUACAGCCAUAUCCUGACAAACAAUUUAUCACACAAUCAUGGCUAUAUAUGUACUUAAAAAUAGUACUGUAUGAGUAGCUCCAGAAGAUGCGGACAAACAUCGCAAGUGAGGUACCAGCAAACUCAUACCCAGCAUAUGCCACGAUAUCCAGCAAUGACGAUUCACCAAUUCCCAGUGAAAAAAAUAAAGCUUCAAUGAGAAUGACUUGCAUAAACCAACCAAGUAACCCUCUUGUGAACUAUAUACUCAGAGCCCAUGGGGUAAACCUGCAUUCAGGAACAAUGCUAUUAUUCAGACAAGCAAGAUUGAAGCAAGAAUAUCCUGAACUAUCAGUAACAGAAUUCUAUCAGCAUUAAGGGGCACUGUUUUCCUCUAGAGAAAUAAAACGGUGUGUCACACAAGUUAACAUCUAUACAUUUCAACCUUUAUCUACCAUCUGCAUUUUUUUUCUUAUUUAAACUGUCAAACAAAACUUCUUGAGUAACUAUAAUCAAAUGUACAUAUAUUUCACCGCUCGUAUAGCCAUACUGCACAUUUCUUCUACAUUCCUACAACCACAACAAUCAAUAGUAACUACGAAUGUAGGUGGCAAAAGCCAUCAGAGGAAUGUAGGCGUUGGCGCCGCACGGGGUGAGGAACGGAAAGAACGUAGCUCCGCCGGCCACCCGGCCAUGGGCUCGGAAUCGGGAGGCUCCGGGUUCGCACGCCCGGCCAGAACGGAGCUCCGCCGGCUACCCGGCCAUGGGUUCAGAAUUAGGAGGUUCUGGGGUCGCGCCCCCGGCUAGAAUGGAGCUCCGCCGGCCACCCGGCCAUGAUCUCGAAAUCAGGAGCCAGGGCCGGCCGCUCUAGUCGCUCGGGAAGGGGGAGGAGGAGGAGGAGGAGAGGGGAGGAGGAGGAGGGGAAAGGGGAGGGGGGCGUACGAGCAUGAAGUCGUUCAAGCAUCCGGGGAUCUUGGCGCGUCGACGUCCUAGUGGACGAUGUCGCCGCCGGCGGCUGCC